UACGUAGGUGGCAAGCGUUAUCCGGAAUUAUUGGGCGUAAAGCGCACGCAGGUGGCGAGCUAAGUCUGACGUGAAAGCUCCUGGCUUAACUGGGAGAGGUCGUUGGAAACUGGCUGGCUUGAGGCGAGGAGAGGGGUGCAGAAUUCCCGGUGUAGUGGUGGAAUGCGUAGAUAUCGGGGGGAAUACCAGUGGCGAAAGCGGCACCCUGGCCUUGGCCUGACGCUCAGGUGCGAAAGCGUGGGGAGCGAAC
rnacentral:rRNA from 1 species